AGUGAACGCUGGCGGUAGGCCUAACACAUGCAAGUCGAACGGCAGCACAGUAAGAGCUUGCUCUUACGGGUGGCGAGUGGCGGACGGGUGAGGAAUACAUCGGACUCUACUUUUUCGUGGGGGAUAACGUAGGGAAACUUACGCUAAUACCGCAUACGACCUACGGGUGAAAGCAGGGGAUCUUCGGACCUUGCGCGAUUGAAUGAGCCGAUGUCGGAUUAGCUAGUUGGCGGGGUAAAGGCCCACCACGGCGACGAUCCGUAGCUGGUCUGAGAGGAUGAUCAGCCACACUGGAACUGAGACACGGACCAGACUCCUACGGGAGGCAGCAGUGGGGAAUAUUGGACAAUGGGCGCAAGCCUGAUCCAGCCAUACCGCGUGGGUGAAGAAGGCCUUCGGGUUGUAAAGCCCUUUUGUUGGGAAAGAAAAGCAGCAGGUGAAUACCCCGCUGUUCUGACGGUACCCAAAGAAUAAGCACCGGCUAACUUCGUG
rnacentral:rRNA from 1 species